CCAUGUUCGCGUCCGUCCCAAUACUCUGUUGCUAAGGGGCUGUGUUGACUUCGGUCAACGCGAACCGACCCACAUUGUUGCGGGAAGCUGUAGGGGGACGCAGGAAGGUAGAUGAACCCGGUGAAUGGUUGAACCGGGGUAAGCGUGUAGGAGGAGGACCAGGUAAAUCCGGGCCUCAUAAACUCUGAGACGUGAUACCGAGCCGCUUCAGGCGAAGUCAUUGAUCCUAUGCUGCCUAGAAAAGCCCAGCAGCGAGUUGACAUGGUGCCCGUACCCCAAACCAACACAGGUGGACAGGUAGAGCAUACCAAGGCGAGUGGGAUAACUAUGGUUAAGGAACUCGGCAAAUUGCCUCCGUAACUUCGGGAGAAGGAGGACCCCAGUAGCGUGAUGAGACUUGCUCUCUGAGCGUGAAGGGGUGGCACAAAAUUGAGGGAAGCGACUGUUUACCAAAAACACAGCAGCGUGCUAAGCCGUAAGGCGCUGUAUACGCUGUGACUCCUGCCCGGUGCUGGAAGGUUACGGGGAUGGGUUAGUCCUUCGGGACGAAGCUCUGAACCUAAGCCCCAGUAAACGGCGGCCGUAACUAUAACGGUCCUAAGGUAGCGAAAUUCCUUGUCGGGUAAGUUCCGACCUGCACGAAUGGAGUAACGACUUCCCUACUGUCUCAACCAUAGACCCAGCGAAAUUGAAGUACGAGUAAAGAUGCUCGUUAGCUGCAGAAGGACGGAAAGACCCCGUGGACCUUUACUAUAACUUGAUGUUGUGUUUUGUCAUAUGUUGUGUAGGAUUGGUGGGAGACUUGGAAGCAUGGACGCUAGUCUGUGUGGAGUCAUCGUUGAAAUACCACCCUGCAUAUGGUGAGGCUCUAACCUAGACCCGUUAUCCGGGUUGGGGACAGCGUCAGGCGGGUAGUUUAACUGGGGCGGUUGCCUCCUAAAGAGUAACGGAGGCGCCCAAAGGUUCCCUCAGCCUGGUUGGCAAUCAGGCGUUGAGUGCAAUGGCAAAAGGGAGCUUGACUGCGAGACCUACAAGUCGAGCAGGAGCGAAAGCUGGGCAUAGUGAUCCGGCGGUUGCGUGUGGAAGCGCCGUCGCUCAACGGAUAAAAGGUACCCCGGGGAUAACAGGCUAAUCUUGCCCAAGCGUCCAUAGCGACGGCAAGGUUUGGCACCUCGAUGUCGGCUCAUCGCAUCCUGGGGCUGAAGCAGGUCCCAAGGGUUGGGCUGUUCGCCCAUUAAAGCGGUACGCGAGCUGGGUUCAGAACGUCGUGAGACAGUUCGGUCCCUAUCCUCUGCAGCCGGAGGUGAAUUGAGGAAAGCUGUCCCUAGUACGAGAGGACCGGGACGGACGCAGCUCUCGUGUGCCAGUUGUCCUGCCAAGGGCAUGGCUGGUUAGCGACCUGCGGAAAGGAUAACCGCUGAAAGCAUCUAAGCGGGAAGCCUCUUCCAAGAUGAAUUCACCCACAGGGUUAACCUGGUAAGGCCCGUGGUAGACCACCACGUUGAUAGGCCGGAAGUGUAAGCGUGGCAACACGUUCAGCUGACCGGUACUAAUCGGCCGAGGGCUUGAGUUC
rnacentral:rRNA from 1 species